ACAGCAGCAGCCGCGGGAACACGUAUGUCACAAGCGUUAUCCGGAUUUAUUGGGCGUAAAGCGCGUCUAGGUGGUUAUGUAAGUCUGAUGUGAAAAUGCAGAGCUCAACUCUGUAUUGCGUUGGAAACUGUGUAACUAGAGUACUGGAGAGGUAAGCGGAACUACAAGUGUAGAGGUGAAAUUCGUAGAUAUUUGUAGGAAUGCCGAUGGGGAAGCCAGCUUACUGGACAGAUACUGACGCUGAAGCGCGAAUGCGUGGGUAGCAAACAGGAUUAGAGACCCCCGUAGUCCCUGUCUCUUAUACA
rnacentral:rRNA from 1 species